CUUCCGGUUCCUUCUGAUCUCAGCCAGAGAAGCGAGGGCAGCUACAUGGUAAGAGGAAGAGAAAACCAGGAGAAAACCUCGGAGUUUACCUGUGAAAAGGAAAAAAAACAGUUGGAGCACUUACCCACUGGAGGUCCGGAGCCAAGUGACUGAACGAAGGAGAGAGUUACGUCUGUAAGACGAGUCAAUUAUCCGGCGGAGAAAAAAAACCUUGUUGACGCUUACCGUCGUCGUCUAUGCUAAUGCUAGCUCUGUGCCUAACAGGCUAACCACUUGCCUUUCACCCAGAGAGCCGCGGCAAGGUCCGACAUCGGCGUGCUCCGCCUUGAUACAGAGAGCAACGGUCAGGUUUUUUUUGGAGGACUGAAGAGUCUGAGGUUCAGGACAAACUUCCUGCUGUAACAGAUGGCGAGCCAACCACCCUGAAGAAAGAUCAGCACUGAGAAGAUAUCCACGUACCCACUCAUUCACACACAUUAUACAUUUACAUUUCACUACAAAGACCUUUGGAAUCAGGUGAACUUGCAAUAAUCCUACAACAGGAAAACCUGCAACAACUCCUAUUUUACUUAAGGGCCCCAACGGACAUUUUUUGUUUCAAGUGUGCACACUGGGUUUUUUCUUAUUGUCUUACUGUUUGUAUUAUUAUUUUGUAUUCUGUACAAAUCAGACAAAUUGUUUUAUCUACUGUUAAAAAUUAUACGAGUGGCUACUCAACUGUUACCCCUGCGAUUGCCUCAUUAUUGUUGCUCAGUACAGUCGCUCCUCCCGAAUUUAGUGUCUUCUGAUUCUGGUCCAGGUAUUAUAAAUAGUCCAAGUAAUUAUUACACUGUAAUUCACUUUUACCUCCCUAAAGUUGGAAACUUGGAAUGACUUUUCAUAGGUAAGAAUAGUUUUUGGCUCUUUUUUCAUUAUGAAAUCUUGUUGAGAGCUUCCAGUCUCUGAGAGCUAACUAGUUAGCCACUAGCAAAACGCUAAGGCGAGCUAGCAGCUUGACAACCAAAUACCAGACGAUUAAUAGUAGCUGUAGUAUAGUUGUACAAGCAGUAGUAGUAAUACUAAAAGUACAAGCAGCAGUAGUAGUAUAAACAGUUGUUAGAGUCGUAGAAGUAGUAUCAGCAUUUGUAAUAGUAUUACAUUAUAAAGCCUAACUCAUGCAUAUCCAGAUUACCAUCUAUGUUCUUCCUACAAACCCAUUUUAUGAUUGGGAUUACAGGCAGUUCUUCAGGACUGCUCUCAAAUAAUUGAAAUGUUACUAAACAAGGUUAUACUUAUCAAAUUAAAUAGCUCUGGUCUCCAGUAUAUUGGCAAAUUCGGUUCUUUGUACUUAAUUUAUUAGCAUGAUUUCUUUUUAAUAUGUUGUGUACAGACUUAAUUACUUCUCUGUCUACUUUUCUUACUCCAUGUAGGUUUCCCAGAGACUAUGGGUUGAGGAGGAAGUGGAAGUUUGUCGGCUUAGACCUGGUGUCAUUCCAUCAGUGUUAAACUUCCCGGCUCAUCUUGGAAGAGUACGUGCCAGAAAGACCACGACCAAGCAGCCUUGAGAUCUUAGGCAGCGUCUCCUUGAGACCAAAGAACUACAGACUCUUCACAACCUGCUCAAACUCUUGGUACAGGACCUCACCACACGGGUCAAGAAGGUUUCUGUCUCAUUUCUACUCUGAAGCUCACCUUCUCCUGCUCAAACUGCUGACAAAUGUUUCUGCUGCUCUGAAGUCUGGUCUCCAGAACUUCCUAAAAACUCUCAAAGUCUCUUCUGCUGCAGGUUGCUUUGUAGAACUGUUCCAGAAAACCUCACUAAACCACAUGGAGGAGCCUCAAGAUAGUCGUCCAAAUGAAACCAUACAAAAACCAAACUAGCACAACCCAAAAGCUAAAGUCUCCUGCAGCCUACCAGAGAACCUCUGAGAACAGAGAAUCAGGACAGGAACUCUUACCUUCUGGACAACCAACGUUGGUUCUCAAACAAGAAUACAGAAUGUGUCUGACCAGAAACCUCUAAAGACUCACUACAGCCAAGAUAAAGACACAACUCAGCUGUACCAAAUCCACUAAUCACUGCACACAUUAACACCAUGUGCUAACUGUGGCUAAAGAACCUCAUUUACCAAGACAACUAUCCAGUACAAAGCCCUAAAACACACCAAGAAACACAUUAAAGUCUAUUUUACUGCUGGAAGCUGCAAGCCAACGCCUAAAGAACAGACUAAAGCAAUAGAGCCAAACCCAGUUCACUGGUGAAGAGAAGCAGAGGAAAUGUUUGUCUGCAGCUAAAUAAAGCAGGAAGACACUGAGCUGCUCAGGUGUUCCUGAUAACACCAAGCUGCUCAGGUGUUCCUGAUAACACCUAGCAGCCACCUGGACAGCCAAUAGGAACACAGCUUCCUGGAAGUCCAGAGGGCUGGCUUAGUGAAGGAAAUUUAAUUUAAAGUUGAAGCAGAAAGUUAACAAAGAAAGUUGAAAACCACCUUCUGAUCCCUGAAAUCUCUGAGUUUUCACACAAAGAACACCUGAACAUGUCAAACUGGUUCCAUAGUAGAACCAUCAUUGUAAAAACGUCAUAGUAUGGUGUGUUGCUCAAAAAACAUUAGGACCUGGCUGUCAGGGGACAAACAUGUAAGAAACAUGAGAACAGAGAGAACCCAACCAGUAGGUCACAGUUUAUCAUCCCCCAGUCAUCUCCUGAAGUCCAUAUGGUGAGAGACAUCAGUAUCUGGUUGUUCAUUUACCAGAGGAUGCUUAUAAUCAUGCUGAUGUGGUCUGUACUCUACAGUAUUUUAGUGACUCAAUAAAUGCCUAAGUUGUUUUUUUUUUUUAAAUGCUUUUUAGUU